AUGCUGAGAGGACUGAGCAGCCAGGCGCGAGCGCAAACAAACAGCUGGGGCUGCGAGCGCCCCCGCCCCGGCCCGGAGAGCAGCCGGCCCGGCCCCCAGCCGGGGCGCCCGUCCGCCCACCAUGAGGAAAAUCCGCGCCAAUGCUAUCGCCAUCCUGACCGUAGCCUGGAUCCUGGGCACUUUCUACUACUUAUGGCAGGACAACCGAGCCCACGCAGCAUCCUCCGGCGGCCGGGGCGCGCCGAGGGCCGGCGGGAGGCCGGAGCAGCUCCGCGAGGACCGCACCAUCCCGCUCAUUGUGAGUCCGCCCGGUGCGCCGCGCGGCCGGCCGGGGAGCCGCGGCGCGCGUCCUGCCCCCGCGCGGCAGCCGAGGGCGCGGGGCCCGGCCGGGGGCUGAGUGCCCGCCGCGCCGGGCCGGCUUUGUAUAUGUUGGAGCAUUCCAGCUCGUUGUUAUGGCAACCUCGGCCCGGCUGGCGGGACCGGGGUGCGCGGAUGAGGGGAGGGUGACAGCGGGUGGGGGCUGGGAGAAAGUGCUGCAAGUUUGGUGGGCCCGGCGUGCGCGCGCGACGGGGAACGUGGCGGCUCUCCCCGCAAGGCGCCGCCGGCCCGGGGGUUGGGGGGCUGCGGGCUCCUCCGCCGCGCGGGCUGGCGUCUCCUGGACCUUGAGCGCAGCAGGCAGGCGUUGGGAGCGGCGCGCAGCCGAGCGCGUAGGUGGAGGUGCGCGCCCCCUCUCCAGCCUCCUGGGGGCAAAGGACGUCGGUGGCGGCGUGGGGAGGAGAGGGUCGCUAGGCGUUGCUCCUGCCUUCGCGCCCCGUUCUCAGCCCGCGUCAACUUGAACCGGUUUCUCCGCACUGACACCCUGCGGUGUUCUCUGAGUCGGGGGGGAGGGGGAGG
rnacentral:lncRNA from 1 species